rnacentral:rRNA from 1 species
UUAAGUGACUAAGCGUACACGGUGGAUGCCUGGGCAGUCAGAGGCGAUGAAGGACGUACUAACUUGCGAUAAGCGCAGAUAAGGCAGUAAGAGCCGUUUGAGUCUGCGAUUUCCGAAUGGGGAAACCCAACUGCAUAAGCAGUUACUGUUAACUGAAUACAUAGGUUAACAGAGCAAACCGGGGGAACUGAAACAUCUAAGUACCCCGAGGAGAAGAAAUCAACCGAGAUUCCGGUAGUAGCGGCGAGCGAACCUGGAUUAGCCCUUAAGCACUCGGUGAAGUAGGUGAACAAGCUGGAAAGCUUGGCGAUACAGGGUGAUAGCCCCGUAACCGACGCUUCAUCGAGCGUGAAAUCGAGUAGGGCGGGACACGUGAUAUCCUGUCUGAAUAUGGGGGGACCAUCCUCCAAGGCUAAAUACUCCUGACUGACCGAUAGUGAACCAGUACCGUGAGGGAAAGGCGAAAAGAACCCCUGUGAGGGGAGUGAAAUAGAACCUGAAACCGUGUACGUACAAGCAGUAGGAGCACCUUCGUGGUGUGACUGCGUACCUUUUGUAUAAUGGGUCAGCGACUUAUAUUCAGUGGCAAGGUUAACCGUAUAGGGGAGCCGUAGCGAAAGCGAGUCUUAACUGGGCGCUCAGUCUCUGGAUAUAGACCCGAAACCGGGUGAUCUAGCCAUGGGCAGGUUGAAGGUUGAGUAACAUCAACUGGAGGACCGAACCGACUAAUGUUGAAAAAUUAGCGGAUGACUUGUGGCUAGGGGUGAAAGGCCAAUCAAACUCGGAGAUAGCUGGUUCUCCCCGAAAGCUAUUUAGGUAGCGCCUCGGACGAAUACUACUGGGGGUAGAGCACUGUUAAGGCUAGGGGGUCAUCCCGACUUACCAACCCUUUGCAAACUCCGAAUACCAGUAAGUACUAUCCGGGAGACACACGGCGGGUGCUAACGUCCGUCGUGGAGAGGGAAACAACCCAGACCGCCAGCUAAGGUCCCAAAGUAUUGCUAAGUGGGAAACGAUGUGGGAAGGCUCAGACAGCUAGGAUGUUGGCUUAGAAGCAGCCAUCAUUUAAAGAAAGCGUAAUAGCUCACUAGUCGAGUCGGCCUGCGCGGAAGAUGUAACGGGGCUAAGCAAUACACCGAAGCUGCGGCAAU